UGGAUUUCUGGCGGGAGCGGGUGGUCCGGCACUUAGUGUUGGUACUUUCCUGUCUCUUGCCAUCCUUGGGUCUAAGCUGUCUGGCAUUUAGUUGUCGGGCAGUGGCUGCCCAUCGUUUACUGUGAAAAAAUUAGAGUGUUCAAAGCAGGCUUAUGCCGUUGAAUAUAUUAGCAUGGAAUAAUAAGAUAGGACCUUGGUACUAUUUUGUUGGUUUGCGCACCGAGGUAAUGAUUAAGAGGGACAGUUGGGGGUAUUCGUAUUCAAUUGUCAGAGGUGAAAUUCUUGGAUUUCUGGAAGACGAACUACUGCGAAAGCAUUUACCAAGGAUGUUUUCAUUAAUCA
rnacentral:rRNA from 1 species